UACCCACCUUGGUUAAGGGAAUCUGUGC
rnacentral:piRNA from 1 species